rnacentral:rRNA from 1 species
CAGGGCUUAAAUGUAGUGGGACAGGCUUGGAAACAGGCCCUUCUUCGGACUCAUUACAAGGUGCUGCAUGGUUGUCGUCAGCUCGUGCCGUGAGGUGUCAGGUUAAGUCCUAUAACGAGCGCGACCCCUGUUGUUAGUUGCCAGCGAGUCAUGUCGGGAACUCUAACGAGACUGCCAGUGCAAACUGUGAGGAAGGUGGGGAUGACGUCAAAUCAUCACGGCCCUUACGCCUUGGGCUACACACGUGCUACAAUGGCCGGUACAGAGAGCAGCCACUGGGUGACCAGGAGCGAAUCUAUNNAACCGGUCACAGUUCGGAUUGGAGUCUGCAACCCGACUCCAUGAAGCUGGAAUCGCUAGUAAUCGGAUAUCAGCCAUGAUCCGGUGAAUACGUUCCCGGCCUUGUACACACCGCCGUCAAGCCAUGGAACUGGGGGUGCCUGANGUCGGUGNCCGCAAGGAGCUGCCUAAGGUAAANCUGGNNACUANGGCU